rnacentral:lncRNA from 1 species
CUCCACUUUAUUAUUCCUUUUAGCACAAUAGUAUUCCAUCACCAACAUAUACCACAGUUUGUUCAGACAUUCCCCAAUUGAAGGGCAUCCCCUCAUUUUCCAAUUUUUGGCCACCACAAAGAGCGCAGCUAUGAAUAAUCUUGUACAAGUCUUUUUCCUUAUUAUCUCUUUGGGGUACAAACCCAGCAGUGCUAUGGCUGGAUCAAAGGACAGACAGACUUUUAUCACCCUUUGGGCAUAGUUCCAAAUUGCCCUCCAGAAUGGUUGGAUCAAUUCACAACUCCACCAGCAAUGAAUUAAUGUCCCUACUUUGCCACAUCCCCUCCAGCAUUCAUUACUUUCCUUUGCUGUCAUGUUAGCCAAUCUGCUAGGUGUGAGGUGAUACCUCAGAGUUGUUUUGAUUUGCAUCUCUCUGAUUACAAGAGAUUUAGAACACUUUUUCAUGUGCUUAUUAAUAGUUUUGAUUUCUUUAACUGAAAACUGCCUAUUCAUGUCCCUUGCCCAUUUAUCAAUUGGAGAAUGGCUUGGUUUUUUUUUUUUUUUUUUUUUUUUUUUUUUUUUUUUU